rnacentral:lncRNA from 10 species
CCGUCGAUAUAUAGCUAAGGAUGAUAACAAGCACAACAAGGACUUACAGCAUUUGCUUUGCACCAGACACCAUCUAAAACACUUCACAAAUAUUAACUCAAAGGAACCUAUCAUUAAUCUCAGAGGCCACAUGCUGAACAUGGCCUAUCCACAGUGUGGAAGAAGCCUUGGAUCCUGAGCCACUGUUCUGACAACCAACCAAUUUAUAGAAGAGAGCUACAUAAUUCCACUGCUCAAAAUUACUCCUGAAGGGAUGAGGACACCAGGAUAUGCCACCGGACCACUGAAGGAAUGGUGAUGGUAUGAAGAAAGUAUUUUUAAUGAGCAGAGCCAUUGUUUGCUCUGCUCUGUCCUCACCCCUCAAGAGAAUUUCCCUUAUUAUUAUGAAAACUUUUUAUCUUAAAAGAUAUUACAUGUUAAUGGAACUGUCGUUUAACAAAUGUUUUAUAAGUGUACCAAUCAAGCACAUUGUCGAAAUAAAAGAUAUGAAAUAAGUGAAAAAAA